UACGUAGGCAGCAAGCGUUGUUCGGAAUUACUGGGCGUAAAGAGUGUGUAGGCGGUGUUCCAAGUCUGGUGUGAAAUCUCCCGGCUUAACUGGGAGGGUGCAUUAGAAACUGGAAUGCUAGAGGAUGGGAGAGGUAAGCGGAAUUCCUGGUGUAGCGGUGAAAUGCGUAGAUAUCAGGAGGAACACCUGUGGUGUAGACAGCUUACUGGACCAUUUCUGACGCUGAGACACGAAAGCGUGGGGAGCAAACAGG
rnacentral:rRNA from 1 species